AUGAAUAUCAGUCCUCAUGAAAUUAAUUUCAUUACAUUCCAGCUAGAAAGCUUAAAAUUAAGAAAGCCAGAGACUUGUUUUUGGCUCAUUAGAAAAUCUUCUUGAAUGAUGAAUAUUUGUGCUCAUAGAUUAAUUUCAUUAUUAUGGGCCAUGCAAGAGUCAAAAUCCAAAUCACAUGAUUUGCUGCUAUGCUGUCAAGAAAUGAUAAAUCAUGUCAUGCAAGAACAAGCAAUAAGAGAUCCCAAUAUAUUUUCUCCCUUACCUUGUCUUCAAAUUGAUCCAUAAA
rnacentral:misc_RNA from 1 species